AGAAUGUAUCUCAGCCAAGUAUAAAUGCCUGAAAGAAGUGAUGUCUCAUUUGGUCUGCAGACAAGCAAAACAGCUUGGGUUUCAUUUUAAAUUAAAGCUGAAGAAGGAAAUCUGGUUUUUCUGAACAAAUGAAGGUUUUCAGCAACGGUGGAUCUUUUCCUGGUAUGCUGCCUCGCACUCAGCUCUCAGUGCUGGUGGGAAGUCAUCUUCUCUUCACCUGUAGAUAAGAUGGAAAUGAAGCACUCAUCUUGCUCUCAAGGAGAUGGCAAGAGCCCCAGGAGGAUGGCAGCCCUGCAGUAAACUGUAAUCACAG